CGGGGCCUUCUGAAGUCAAGGUCAUUUCUGUCAUCCCGUGGCCUUCUGACGUCAAGGUUAUAUCUGUUGGAGGUGAGUCAGCAUUAGUGGGUUAGUGAUAGACACCAUUUUUCAGGUGAUAGCCAGUGGGGUUAGCUUAAGACUACAUGUCCCAGGUGAUAGACAGUGGGGUUAGUGAUAGACAACAAGCUGAUGUGUAGGGGUUGUAGUUCUUCAUUACCUGCUGGGACCUCCACCUCCUGCAGACCGCUCUCAUGCUCAACUCUACAGAUGUAUUGAUCUGUGAGGGUUUCUCCCUGAUCAAUAACCAGGAUGCUGGCAGCGUAUGUCGGUCCUCUGGGCUCCAGCUGCUCCCCGUCCUUCCCCCCCCCUCUGCCCCCCCUUCUCCUCCUCCAGGACACCCGGACCUCCUCAGGGACCAUGUCUCUGGCUACACACAGCAGGGAG
ensembl:lncRNA